rnacentral:rRNA from 1 species
AUUGAACGCUGGCGGCAGGCCUAACACAUGCAAGUCGAACGAGUGGCGGACGGGUGAGUAAUGUCUGGGAAACUGCCUGAUGGAGGGGGAUAACUAAUGGAAACGGUAGGUAAAACCGCAUACCAUCGGCUUGGUCCAGAGGUGAUUAGCUAGUAGGUGGGGUAACGGCUCACCUAGGCGACGCGCCCUAGCUGGUCUGAGAGGAUGACCAGCCACACUGGAACUGAGACACGGUCCAGACUCCUACGGGAGCCAGCAGUGGGGAAUAUUGCACAAUGGGCGCAAUCCUGAUGCAGCCAUGCCGCGGGUAUGAAGAAGGCCUUCGGGUUGUAAAGUACUUUCAGCGGGGCGGCGUUACCCGCAGAAGAAGCACCGGCUAACUCCGUGCCAGCAGCCGCGGUAAUAC